GUUUCAUUCAUCCUUGUUGCAUGUCAUCAACAAGGAGUGUGUGUGUGUGUGUGUGUGUGAAAGUCUCUGUAUGUAUGUCUGUAUGUCUGUGAUGGGCCUUAGUAAGAUAUAAACCAUCAUCUUAGAUUAUCUUAUAUUAUGUUUUAGAAUAAGGCCUAAGUUUUAUGUGUGUGUGUGUGUGUGUGUGUGUGUGUGAGAGAGAGAGAGAGAGAGAGAGAGAGAGAGAGUAUGUGUGCAUGCAUGUAGAAGCCAGAGGUUGAUGUUGGAUGCUUUAAGCAAUCACUCUCCACCUUAUUUUUAAAGACCACCUCUUACUGAACGUGGCACUUGCUGUUUUGACUAGAUCAUCUGGCCAAGAAGUUCUAGGAAUCCUCCUGUCUCUGCCUCCCAAGCUCUGGGGUUACAGGUAAGCACUGCACCCAGCUUUUAGGUCCUCAUGCAUAUGCAGCAGACUCUCACAGAGUAAGCCAUUGCCCCAGCUCUUUCACAUGUGCUAGCGUCUUUGCGACCACACAGCUAUUUCCAUUAGUCUCCACUAUGUGUUUAGUCCUUUCGUUAGGUAGCUUGUUGGUAUGUGCAGGGCUGGAGGACACUGGGCUCUAUUUCUUCCCCCACAGCCAAGAACCUGGAGCUUCAAGGAUGGAACUCCAGGACCCUGCUUACUGCUCAGAGGAGUGGAACUUGGACAUCCUAAAAGGCGUCCUGAACUGCUAGUUAGUAACCCAGCCCCGGAGCCCCACACUCUACAGAUUACUGUGCUUCUGAUGCGUUGCUGAAUCCAGGAUCUGCCUUGCUGGUCUACUGCAGAGGGCACGUGUUCUUUCUCCACAUGUGUUUCAGCUGACUGAUACGCCUGUGCUAACCCAGCUCGGGGUCUCAGAGGGGUGGCUGCUCACAGGUCACAGUCCUUCCUGUGUCCUAUUUCCAAGCAAGGAGAGUACUGUACUUCCUAUGCCGAAUCAGGGACAUGAUACUAGACCCCCAAGUGGUGGGUCUUUAUUUAUUUUUUUAAUGCAUUCAUUUUUCGUAAUGUACUACCCGGGUCCUAUAGGGGAACGCCAUUUCUCCCUUGCAGCCCUUAGCUUCUGAUAUGCUGUGACCAGGACAUGUGACACAUUCCCUUUUGGGUUUAGUUUUGGUCUUCCUAGAACCUGUUAGGAAAGAAGCUCAUGAUGUGGCUGUAAGUCAACCUUGCCUUCACUAUGUACCGAGAAAAGUAGAAGUUGACUUCUUCUAGCCAAGGAGACUCUGGGCAAAGCAAGAUAUCUGGAACAGGAUCCUUAGGUAUUUCUUCCCAUCACUGUUGUUUCUUUGAGACAGGGUUUCUCUGAGUAGCUCUGGCUAUCCUGAAACUUGUAGAUCAGGCUGACCUGGAACUUAUAUAUCCAUCUACCUCUGCCUCCCAAGUGCUGGGAUUAAAGGUGUGGGCCUUGCCAGACACCCGCUGCUGUUCCUGAUAGGGUUGGAGUAGAAGAGGACCUCUCCAUGUGCUCUGUGCAGUUCCUCUAGCUGGGGAACUCCCUCUGGGUUCUCACUGAGUUGUUUUCCCAUACAUGGGAUGAGUUUUAUCACCAAACUUUCAAGAGAGAGAGGUUGCCUUGGCCUGGGAGGUUUUGUUUGUAAAACCUCUUUGAUAGCUGGGGGAAUGGUCAGAAGUAAAAAAACAUCCAAAUUUAUACAGUGUUACCAGAGGACUUAAAGAGAUGGAGGUACCAGCAGCAGGCAGGACUUCAUGAAAACCCCGUUGCUUGCUAAGGUGGUCAUGUGACUAUGCUCUGGCUUUGGGGUGUAUAUACAUUUGCUGUGUGGAAGCAGGAUAUAGUUGUGAAGGAAGUGCUGUAGCUAUGUUAGUGGAUCAUGAGGAUGAAACCAAGUCAUGGAGAAGGCAGAGGGUGAGCUGGGUCUCAG
rnacentral:lncRNA from 1 species